ensembl:lncRNA novel transcript, antisense to STARD5
GGGAGAGGGUGGAGUGCAGACGAUGCUAAGGCUUUGAGAUGGAAGGAAGUCCCUGUCCCCUGGAGUUCACCCUCUUUGGGGAAGCAGGGCAUCAUAGCAGUUAAGACCAAAGUCAGACCAUGUCCUGCUCAGGCCUCCCCAGUGGCUUCCCAUUUUAUUCAGAGGAAAGUCCCCAACAGGCUGCGGCCCCUGCUACCUCAUGGGCCGAAUGUCCUAGCCUCUCCUCUUGCUAACACAACACCUCCCUCUGUGCUGUUCCUCAAAGGCCCCGCUCUUGCUCCGGCUCCUGCUCCCACUUCUGGGACUUUGCAUCUGCUCAUCCCCCUGCCAGAAUGCUCGCUCCACCAACACGCCCAAGACUCCCUGCAUUUGUGCCUUGCUCAAACGUCUUAUUAGGGAAACCCCCUAGAUAACCCACUCACACCUUUCCCUGGCACCUUUAUCUGGGUUUAGUUUUCCCCAAGGCACUUAACGUCUGAUACUUACUAGCACAUCCACGAGAUAGAACUACUUACAUUUGUGUUUUGUCUGUCUCCUCCUGCCUUCAUUGGAAUCUAAGUUCUAAGAGGGCAGACACUCUAGCUGUUUUGAGACAUCAAUAUCUGGGUUAAGAGCCCAGAUUCUGGAGCCAGAUGGCCAGAAUGAGACUGUGGCUCUCUUACUUGCUGGCUGUGUGACCUUGGGUUAGUUACUAAACCUCUCUGUGCACCCACCAUUCUUAUUUUAAAAAUGAGGAUCACAACAGUGCCUUACGGUUGUUAUAAAAACAGUUAAUUUAUAUGAAGUGCUUACAAUAGUGGCUGACACACAGUAAUGCUGUAUAAAUGUUUGCUGCUGCUGCUGCUGUUAUUAUUGUCUGCUGAAUCUAGGGUCCAGAAUAGGCCUAUCUUCACAGAAUAAUAAGAGAAUAAUCAUUGUCACAGAUUUCAGAUCCACAGCCUCAUGAGAAUAACUGCACACAGCAGGCUCUGGAAGAAAGCUUUACAGAGAACACGUGAUGUUUUUAAUCAAGUGGAGAGGAGUUGGAAGAGUCAACACUUGAGUUAAAACCUUCAUAUGGGCAGGGUUUUGUGGGACCCCAACCACCCUCUCAGCAAAAUCCAUGCAAUCGGGCCAGGCGCGGUGACUCACGCCUGUAAUCACAGCACUUUGGGAGGCCAAGACGGGGAUCAUUUGAGGUCAGGAGUUCAAGACCAGCCUGGACAACAUGGUGAAACCCCGGCUCUACUAAAAAUACAAAAAUUAGCCAGGCAUGGUGGCAGGCACCUGUAAUCCCAGCUACUCGGGAGGCUGAGGCAGGAGAAUCGCUUGAGCCUGGGAGGCAGAGGUUGCAGUGAGCCAAGAUUGCACCACUGCACUCCGGCCUGGGUGACAGCCAAACUCCGUCUCAAAAAAAAAAAAAAAAAAUCCAUGUGAUACCUUUGCUACCUGGCAUGAGGGCGUGAUGCUACCCAUUAUAUUGUGCAUUCCACCAAAAAGAAGACAGCAAUGGGAUUCAGCCCCUCAGAAGGAAGGACUCUGCCUCUUAUUCUGAAAAUUCCUCUCUGUCAGACCCGGCACCACUGAAAGUCAAAGUGCCCCUUUUCACAGAAGGUCCACAGGGAAGUCACAGUUAGGUCUGAGCCAUGUACCUCAAUGCAGGAAAUUAUCCUUACCCUGGAAGAGGUUCACAGAAGCAACCACAAGGAUGGUUAAAUCCUCUCACAAAACCUGGCUUCGGGGGACAUAACGGAUGCUCCACAUGGGUGGCUGGAAGACAGUGCAGAAUCUCGGAACUGUGGGGUGCAGAAGAGAAAGCUCGAUAUCGCAGGAAGGCAUGGCAGCUCCUCCGGGCAUCACUCACCGUUGGAACUGAUGGUCCCAUCCUCAUAUCUCUUGACUAGCACCAAGUCCACAAAAUCUCUGGGAGAAAUGAGCUUCAUGGCAGCGGAGGGAGUGGAGGUUCUGCUUACACACAGGGUCUGCCAAACCAAAGAAGCAUGUAGCUGUGACUGCUGGCCAGACAUCUUCUCCCAACUCCCACCCCAUCCCUCAAGGUCUGGGAAAGGUAUUAAGACUUGGGGCAUCGUGUGUUGCUGCAGAACUUUUCAUCAGGGACACUUUCGGCCUCAGGAAAUUAAUCUUCGAAUGGCAUGAGAUGCAUGGGGGCACUUGAGCACUUUGCAAU